rnacentral:rRNA from 1 species
UACAGAGGUCUCAAGCGUUGUUCGGAUUCAUUGGGCGUAAAGGGUGCGUAGGUGGUUAUGCAAGUCUGGUGUGAAAUCUCGGAGCUCAACUCCGAAAUUGCACCGGAUACUGCGUGACUCGAGGACUGUAGAGGAGAUCGGAAUUCACGGUGUAGCAGUGAAAUGCGUAGAUAUCGUGAGGAAGACCAGUUGCGAAGGCGGAUCUCUGGGCAGUUACUGACACUGAGGCACGAAGGCCAGGGGAGCAAACGGG